rnacentral:rRNA from 1 species
UACGUAGGGUGCGAGCGUUAAUCGGAAUUACUGGGCGUAAAGCGUGCGCAGGCGGUUUGCUAAGACAGGUGUGAAAUCCCCGGGCUUAACCUGGGAACUGCGCUUGUAACUGGCAAGCUAGAGUGUGGCAGAGGGGGGUGGAAUUCCGCGUGUAGCAGUGAAAUGCGUAGAUAUGCGGAGGAACACCGAUGGCGAAGGCAAUCCCCUGGACCUGUACUGACGCUCAUGCACGAAAGCGUGGGGAGCAAACAGG